UAGCCUUGCUGCAGCAAGCCUCCGGCUCGCGGUCUCUCACUCAGGACCAAGAGACAUUGGUGUGCAGGAGAUUCUGUGCGUGUGUUUUUCAUUCCCUAGUGGAUUUGUUUCAAAGACAUUGUCAUCUGUGUAGAAGCCAGUUUCAAUCUCUGGUUUCUACCCCUUGCCCUGCUGGCAGAGCAUUGAGCGGCACCCGUUGCCAGCCACCUGGGUGCGGAGAUCGAGGAGGGUGAAGGGAGGAGCAACCCUGGGCAUCUGCCAUCCAGCUCCAUCCGAUCUAGAGCAAUUCCAGGAUGGAGCGAAUCAGGCAGAUGCUCAGGAGGAAGGCCGAGCAGGUGGCUCCAGAGCCGGCAGCAAACAUCAGCCAGCCUGCCCAGGAGGAGAGCGGCCCCUCUGUCCCCGCGGGCGGGGAAGAGGCUCGUGGCCAGGGGAAAGGGAGGAGCUGUGUCGCCUGCUGGAGGAGGAGGAAGACAGCAGAUCCCCUAGCUCAGGGGUCCCCAACCCCCGGGCCGCGGACCGGUACCGGUCCAUGGCCUGUUAGGAACCGGGCCGCGAACCGAGCGCACAGCAGGACA